CUAAUCUGUGAUGAAGUUGGUUGCUGCCCUUGUUCCUAAAUGGACUGAAUCUUCUAAUAGUAAUUUGAGAUUAUCAUAUGCUAUUUAAUAUUCUACUGUUGAAGUUUCCUGAAGCUUUUGGGAUCGACUGCAAGGUUCUAGAACCUGCUAUCUAGAUUUGUUAGUAUACUGCUCUUGGUUUACUUAGUGGAAUUUUGGUUGUUCUUUGGUUUACAAGAUUUUGUUGUUUGGGUCUAGUUUGGCUUGUCAAACCUAUUCCUACAUUAACUAGUAAUCCCAUACUCAAUCUUAGAGCCCCCCUAUUAGACCCAUAAAAGUGGUCUAUUACACUCAAAACACAUUAGAUCAAAGGCCCAACAUGUAUGGAACCCAACCUUAGGCUUAAUCCUAAUAAAAUAAGCCUUUUUUGGUGAUUAAUCUGCAUCAACUCUCCCCUUCUUGAAAAAAUUCAUCCUCGAAUUUUGCAGUGAUGAGGGGGAAACAACAUGUGCGUAGUAACUUUAACCAUUCCCAAACAAAAUUCUGGUUGCUUGUGAACUUGUGGAAUGUAGUCUUCAAGGCGGGGAACUUUCUCUUCGAAGAACCAUGAUGGCAUAACAAACUCUGUAUGUUUGACCUCUGAAUCGAUACCAACUGUGAAUGUUGUAUGAAUAGAGUCAUCAACGUUAGUAACUUUCUCAUCAAGGAUAAGAACAAACUCUUCCUUCUCAUCAUGAAUCUCAAAGACUUGUUGUGGAGUGCUUCAUCUACUACCUCAUAUUCCACUGCCUCAAUCUUGUCAACUAUGCUUUCUUCAAAGUAGAAUUCUUUAGUGGAAUCUUUUAUCUCUUGACCUUCCUUCUUUGAAGCUUUAAGAACUAUCUCUUCAAUGUGAACCUUAACUUUAAGUUCUUUUGGUUUAAAGAGAGGUAUUUUCACUUCCCAUGGAGGGAUUAUAGGUGCUAUUAAUGAUUCUAGGACACCAGCAUGUUGUUCUACUGUAGCUAAUCGUUCAUGCAUUCGCACAAUUCCUUGACUCAGCUGCAUCAACUCCUUAAAAAUAUAAUCAAAGUCCUCAGGACUUAUUUCACCGUUGGGCAUGUUCAGCUCUGAUAGUCUUCCAAGGUUGUUCUCUGCCAUGCUCUGAUACCACUUAAUGUAGACUAGGGUAGGGGUCUAACCAAGUCUCAAUCUGCAAGAACUUUUAAACCAAAGAACAACUAAUGGUAAAGGCAUAACAGUGGCACAGGUCAAAUCUGAUUAAAACCAGAACUAGGAAUCAAGUCUGCCGAGUCUAGAAAUCAGGGAUUCUGAGAUCAGAAUAUAGCUAGCUGGAUAGCAUAGCUAGGAAACAGAACUAAGUCCAAAUACCACUCAACAAACAUAACCAGUCUUCAGAUAAUCAACAACAUGCAACUCCAACUAAUUGAUCUCUGUUUCAGGUCUGAAAUCAGAACUGAUAGCACUGCAGGACAAGAAAGUGGAGAUUUCUUGUAUCUCAUCAACCACAGGUCAGAAUGACCUGAUAUUUGGAUUGAAGGAGGCCCUUAAUGGGUGGAUAAUUCAUCAAAAUUACAGCUCAAACCAAGGGCUGGAAGUACUUCAGGUCACAAAGAACCGAAUGUGAAAACUAAGGAGAUUCUGGGCAGAAUUAGACUUUUAAAUACCUGGUCCGUAAAGCAGUGUUAGACAGCAGUACUCCUUGAAUAUAAACUUGAAAGAGAAUAAGAAACUUAAAGAAAACCUCCUGGACUUCUCGCCGCAAGGAGUCGUUUGGAUCAAACACCAAAUCCAGCAGUUUGAUCAAACACAAAGCCAUCUCAGCAAAGACAUUACAGAAGCAACAGUUUUUUGUUUGUAUAAAUCGUUCGAGGUUUAAUGGGAGCCCUCUUCUUUAUUUAUAAUAAUGAUGGGGGUUAUAUAAAAUAGAAACUAACUUUAGUUUCAAAAAACUGAAGUAGAAACUUAUAAAAUAGAAGAUCCUCUAGUUACUAAAACUGGAAAUAGAAACUAGGAAUUAAAAGUACUGAAAUUAGAAACUAAAUAAACUGGAUUUAGAAACUAAAUAAUAAUCUAAAUAACUCCAUUAAUCCCCAACUAAAAAGGAAACUAAUGAAAAAUGGAAACUAACUAGUAAUUCCGUACUCAAUCUUAGAAGCCCCCCUUUUAGACCCAUAAAAGUGGUCUAUUACACUCAAAACAUAUUGGAUCAAAGGCCUAAUAUGUAUGAAACCCAACCCUAGGCUUAAUCCUAAUAAAAUAAGCCUUUUUUGGUGAUUAAUCUGCAUUAGUGAUAGAUUGAAGUUAUGGGUCUUUAUUGUUCUUAAUAAUUAUAUAAACAAAGAAGAAGAAAAGAAUAACACAAAUAUUGUGCCUCAGAUUUUUAAACUUUUAUUGUUUUGGCUAUUGAAAAAGGUUGAUCUGAAAACUAUGUGGUACUGACACGAUUGUUGAGUUAAAUCUAUGAAUAUUGUUUUCUACAUUUGAUAGAAGUAAGGUAUAUAGUCAAGGUCUUUGAAUUACUGGUUUCUGUGCAUGGGUUUAUCUUCAUAUUUUAGCAUAGCAAUUUUAUGACUUUAUUGGAGGUGGAGCAGGCUUGAGGAUGCUGGCUAUGCUGUAGGUGUAACCGUGCAAGAGUUCUGGAACUUCUUUGCCAUAGGGAUAAGUGGUGAUCAAUCAAAGCCUUCUUCUGGAGGUUUUGGAUAAGAUAGAGGAAGAAAACGCUAGAGUGAAGACGUUGGGGAAGACGCUGGGGGAGUUACAGUCCAAGGAGGGGAGGCUAGUGGUACCUCAGCGGCUACAGCUCAAGAAGUCACGCACCAAAUGGUGGCCGCUACACAAGUUGAGUCUGAUUCUUCGUCUGACAGGCUUCCUUUGACUUUUUUAGUUGUUCGGAGCGCCAACCGCCAAGAGAUGGAGAGUGGCCCUAACAAAAAGAAGAGAAGUGCGGCCAUUGUUUACCCCCAGGAGUCUAAGACGCAAAUGGCUAGCGGUCCUGGGUUCUCUUUAACCCAUUCGUUGCACGGUGUCUCUUGAUGAGGUUGUUAUUACCCCUCGUGGCAAUCAUGAGACGUCCGAAAAGAAGGAGAAGGGGAAAGAUCUUGUCCCUCCGUCUGCUGAAGACUUCUUCUCUCCCUGUUAUGGGGUUAACAGUGAGCAAUCAUUGUUUAAGGAUGCAAAGGUUGCUUGCGCUGUUGUGAAUGAGGGUGUCCUUCCCCGGGAUAGUUCACACCUGGCUAGCAUCCGUUUUGACGAGCUCCUGGAGAUGGGAUAUACCUAAGUGGCUAGGGUCAUGCUUGGAGAGGUCCUCACAAGGGCUGAGUAUUAUCAUAAGGUUGGGUAGGAGUUCAAGCAGAAGUAUGAGAAUGGUAAGAAGGCCCACUGUGAAUUACAAACGGAGUGUGAGAGGUUGAGAGGGGCAAAAGAAGCUUCUGAUGUGGCAGCUACAGUGAGGGAGCUCGACUAUAUUGCUUUGAAGGGCACGUUGGAUGAGAUUUAAAAGGCCUCCCUUAUUGCCGCGAAGAAUGCUUUAGUCUUGGAGGAAGACCUGAAGGCUCACAGGGUUGUCUCCUAAAGGUAUACAAUGAGAUUGACACCUUGAAGAAGUUAACGUCUAUGUGAACGACAACAAGGUUCCGAACGAACAAGUGCAGAAGACCAUCGACCAGGCUCGUUGCGAGGUAUUGGCUGCUAUCAAGAAGUACAAAAAAUCUAGGACCUUUGAGAAGGAGUUAGCUAAAUCUGAGGCUGACUGCUAUCUACUUUGCGGGGCGAGGUUGCGAAGGUUCACCCAAACUUCGACUUCAGCAUGUUUGCUAAGGAAUGGGCUAUAUAGAAGCCAAGAAGGCGAGGGAGGCUAAAAGAGCAGCUGUCUCCAUCGGGUUUGGUGCUCUUCCUUCUUUGCCAAAGCAAAGGGCUCUUCCUGUUCGGCCAGAAUUGAGUGUUGUUCCUAUUCAGCAAGAGCAAAGUGUUGUUCUUGUUCGGCCAGAGCAGGGUGUUGUUCCUGUUUGGCUGGAACAAGACAUCGCUCUUGCUCAGGACAUUGCCCCGUUGUGGAGCCAAUCAGGGAGAUGUCUUGCGACAGACAUGACAUUCAAGUGCUUUCUUCUAAGCCUAGCAUCCCAGUACUUGCACCCCAACUUGUGUGGCUGUUAAACAAGAGUUCUCCUUCUGAUGUUAUCGAAGGGUCAAGCUGUUUUGCCUCCUCUCGUCUUCCUGGUGAAGGGAACGAUCCGAUGGAGCAUACCAGUUGAUGAUUUUAAUUUUCAUUUGCUCUUCUUCUUGUAAUCUCUUUUUGCAGCUCUUGUACUUCAUACUCUCGUAAUGAAAGGCCUUUUGGGUGCGUUUUUCUUUU